GAGUAAAGGACAGAGAUAAUUCUCCCAAAGAAUCUGGGUUCUAUUUGCAUCUUCUUAUUUAUUCUUGAUGCUAUGCUUCAAGAUUGAGCGGUUUGUCUCGAAGCUUCUAUUCGUAAAUUUGGCUUAUGCCGAUCGUCCUGUCCAAAUUGGAUAAUUUUGUCUUAAAAGGACCAACGAAUACAUGGUGAAUAAUAGAUUCAAGCAAAGCAAGGAAGCAGUCAAGAUGAUAAGUAAUUUUCAUUGUACCCAGCUUCCUUGCAUGAAAUCAUUGACAACAUCUUUCAACUUUUGGAAUCGGUCGAGAUCUAACAUACAGAACGGAGGAUAAUGAGCUCUUUGAUCAUCCAGCCAGCUCGGUUCUACAUUGGCAAGUCGAUGACAAGGUGACUCAUAAUUAUGUGCAGA
rnacentral:lncRNA from 1 species